AUAUUGCCAAAUCAAUGUUUGGAACUUCCCAAAGAUACAAGGAGAAUUUAAAAACACCUAAUGAAAAGCGACUUAUAGACAGAAGCGUCAACUACAUCAAGUGUCAGUUGAUAUAUAUGUUUUGGUCAAAUACAUGUUUGUAUUUGCUCCUCCAAAAUUUGAA
rnacentral:lncRNA from 1 species